GUCGUGUUCAAGUAAUGAAAGUUUGAUUGUUUCAGAUGUAAGAGAGGUUAUGAUGGGGAACGCUGUGGGAUCCAGCUUCUCGGGACGUCUCGGGACGAGAGCAGCACUGAUCGGAGCCACACCACGCUCGUCAUUAUGGCUGUAGUCCUGUCAGUCAUCAGCUGCCUAGCCAUUCUGCUCAUGGUCUGCGUGCACCAUAGAACACAUCACCGCUUUCAGGCGGCGUUCCUGAGCUCCACUAAUGAAAGAGAGAAACUAGAGAAGAAGAACAUCAUGGUGUGAAGAGGAAGUAGAAUUCACGCAGAUGUCACUGGUGUGGAGUGCACUGCAGAUAUAUUGCACAUAGAAUAAUAUAAUAAAACCCACUGUAAUAAUAUAUUUAUUGUUUGUACCUAUUUAUUAACUAAUUAUAUAAUUU
rnacentral:lncRNA from 1 species